GAUGAACGCUGGCGGCGUGCCUAAUACAUGCAAGUCGAGCGAACAGACGAGGAGCUUGCUCCUUUGACGUUAGCGGCGGACGGGUGAGUAACACGUGGGUAACCUACCUAUAAGACUGGGAUAACUUCGGGAAACCGGAGCUAAUACCGGAUAAUAUUUCGAACCGCAUGGUUCGAUAGUGAAAGAUGGCUUUGCUAUCACUUAUAGAUGGACCUGCGCCGUAUUAGCUAGUUGGUAAGGUAACGGCUUACCAAGGCAACGAUACGUAGCCGACCUGAGAGGGUGAUCGGCCACACUGGAACUGAGACACGGUCCAGACUCCUACGGGAGGCAGCAGUAGGGAAUCUUCCGCAAUGGGCGAAAGCCUGACGGAGCAACGCCGCGUGAGUGAUGAAGGUCUUCGGAUUGUAAAACUCUGUUAUUAGGGAAGAACAAACGUGUAAGUAACUGUGCACGUCUUGACGGUACCUAAUCAGAAAGCCACGGCUAACUACGUG
rnacentral:rRNA from 1 species